rnacentral:lncRNA from 1 species
CAGAGGUGAACGACGUUGCUCUGGUGUAUGGAAAUCAGACUCGUGCUCCUGCUCAUCAUCACCAGCCUGGUCGCCAUCGCCACCCUGUUGAUAGAAUCAAAAAUAUAAAUCAUUAGUCCGUAUAUAUAUAUGUGAGAAUUAACAAACUAGCCUUAAUUGAAAAUUAUAAACAAUAAGAAUACAUGAGUAGGUGGGGGCGGACGAAAAGCCUCCUCCAAGAGGGUAAUCACCAUCCGGAGCAUCUCGGCGCUCCAAGCGUCGAACUGCUCCCGUGGUAAUCCCGUACUCUCUGCAGAGGCCCCUGCUAUAAUAUCCUGAGCAAUCUGAUGAAGACGAGAAUUGGAAGGCAACUGCUGACGCCGAAAGACCGGAUCGGUAUGGAACCUAUUUAACACGCCCCGCCCUAUCAGCCGCCGGAAGAUUUCGUCAUCCAAGCCAGCGCCGGUAUGAGAUGGUCCGUGAAACAACCCGGGUCAAAUUCAUCAAAAUAAGGCCUCAAACUACUGGCCCAAUAGUAUCUUCUUGGGUCAUCUUAGC